rnacentral:rRNA from 1 species
GGAGUUUGGUCCGUGUCUCAGUACCAAUGUGGGGGACCUUCCUCUCAGAACCCCUACUGAUCGUUGCCCCGGUGGGCCGUUACCCCGCCGGCAAGCUAAUCAGACGCAUCCCCAUCCCUUACCGAUGAAUCUUUGCUCCUCGUUAGAUGCCUGCAAAGGAGAACAUAGAGUAUUAAUCCGCAUUUCUACGGGCUAUGCCCUACUAUGGGGAAGGUUGGAUACGCGUUACUCACCCGUGCGCCGGUCGCCAUCAAUCAAAGCAAGCUUCGAUUAUGCUGCCCCUCGACUUGCAUGUGUUAAGCCUGUAGCUAGCGUUCAUCCUGAGCCC